AGAGACAGCAGCCGCCGCGGUAAUACGUAGGUCCCGAGCGUUGUCCGGAUUUAUUGGGCGUAAAGCGAGCGCAGGCGGUUAGAUAAGUCUGAAGUUAAAGGCUGUGGCUUAACCAUAGUACGCUUUGGAAACUGUUUAACUUGAGUGCAAGAGGGGAGAGUGGAAUUCCAUGUGUAGCGGUGAAAUGCGUAGAUAUAUGGAGGAACACCGGUGGCGAAAGCGGCUCUCUGGCUUGUAACUGACGCUGAGGCUCGAAAGCGUGGGGAGCAAACAGGAUUAGAUACCCGAGUAGUCCCUGUCUCUUAUACA
rnacentral:rRNA from 1 species